UCAUGCUCCCUCAACCUAACAUUGACACAUCGACCUGACUGUCCAACGUAAAACUUGUCACAACUUAAAGGGAUGCAAUACACCACACAUGUGUUACAUGCACAGUAUUUUUUGACAUGUUUUAUGUCACAAAUCCUGCUCAUCGCAUUGAGCUGCCUGG
rnacentral:lncRNA from 1 species